CUUAUACUCUCUUCGUUCAACAAAGGAUAUUUCAAGUAUGUCAAAAUUUGAAUGUAUCUAAACAUGACUUAGUGUAUAGAUGGAUUCAACUUUAGUCAAAAUUGAGACAUCCUUUGUUGAACGGAGAGAGUAUCUU
rfam:Brachypodium distachyon strain Bd21 chromosome 5, whole genome shotgun sequence.